GCAAGAUGUAGCAAGUACUGAGUUGAUCAAGUAAUGAAUGUAGUCUUCAAUGAAAACAGAGUGUAGUUAGCAAAAUGUAUUUGGGACAUAAUGAAGCGAGUGAUUAAAACAUAUGUUAAUGCUUACAUGGCAGGGAUUUGUAUAUUCACGUUAUAUCGGGAAAUUAGUCCUUGUUUUAGGUUGAACUGUCUGAAUAAACAGAAAUGUAAGAGAUAUAGAUGUGCCAGGAGCAGAUCUGGGAGUGAAGCACCAGGAAAGUACUUCCCCCAAUAUGGCAGACAGGAGACAGGUACCCAUGUUAAAUGUGGUAUAGAAUCAAGCCUUCUCUUCUUUCAUCUCUUCGGUAGCGAAUGACAUUGCGGUCAUACAAGAGAAGGAGGCAAAUUUCCCUAGGGCUGGCAGAGGGAUAUUAGACUUCACUGUAACUGCAGAGAGCAAUAUGUAAAUCCUACAAGCUGUAAAAAAGGCAGUGCACUGGUAGCAGGAAUCUGAC